GACGAACGCUGGCGGCGUGCCUAAUACAUGCAAGUAGAACGCUGAAGGGAGGAGCUUGCUCUUCUUGGAUGAGUUGCGAACGGGUGAGUAACGCGUAGGUAACCUGCCUUGUAGCGGGGGAUAACUAUUGGAAACGAUAGCUAAUACCGCAUAACAAUGGAUGACCCAUGUCAUUUAUUUGAAAGGGGCAAAUGCUCCACUACAAGAUGGACCUGCGUUGUAUUAGCUAGUAGGUGAGGUAACGGCUCACCUAGGCGACGAUACAUAGCCGACCUGAGAGGGUGAUCGGCCACACUGGGACUGAGACACGGCCCAGACUCCUACGGGAGGCAGCAGUAGGGAAUCUUCGGCAAUGGGGGCAACCCUGACCGAGCAACGCCGCGUGAGUGAAGAAGGUUUUCGGAUCGUAAAGCUCUGUUGUAAGUCAAGAACGAGUGUGAGAGUGGAAAGUUCACACUG
rnacentral:rRNA from 1 species